rnacentral:rRNA from 1 species
UACGUAGGGUGCAAGCGUUGUCCGGAAUUAUUGGGCGUAAAGAGCUCGUGGGCGGUCUGUCACGUCGGACGUGAAAAAUCCAGGGCUCAACCCUGGACCUGCGUUCGAUACGGGCAGACUAGAGUUCGGUAGGGGAGACUGGAAUUCCUGGUGUAGCGGUGGAAUGCGCAGAUAUCAGGAAGAACACCAACGGCGAAGGCAGCUCGCUGGGACGGUACUGACGCUGAGACGCGAAAGCGUGGGGAGCGAACAGG